rnacentral:lncRNA from 1 species
UACCAUUCUAUGAAGCAAUUCUGGAAGUCCUUUUUCAUGUCUUUAUGAGGUAUAAUAAAAAUGUGGUGAAUACCGAGGAACAUGCAACAGGCAAGCUUGCGAAGAUAUCGUGGUGCAUCUCAUUACCGUAUUCACUGGGUGUGUUACUGUGUGACUUCUGGCUUUUCCACAAACUUAGAAUGAAAGUUUAA